UAUUAUGCCCUAAAAAAAAAAACUUUAUUUGGCACAACAAAAAAAAUAGAACACACCAAAAUAUUUCUUCACACCAAUUUUAUUUGGCACAGCGCAGCCAACCCAAACCCUAGCUUAGCUCUUCACAACCAAACACCAUUGGCGAGAUCUGUGGCGGUGACGGGCUUUGGUAGCAGCGAUUACGAGCUGGGAGGGCAGAGCAGCUACUACGACAGCGUGAACCUUGGUGACCGGAGUGAGUAGCUUCGACUUGUGUCAGCUUGAGCAGCGGUGCGGCGGUGAUGACGGAGUGCGAAGAAGAACGGCGGCGGCGAUGUCUCCAGCUGACGGCGAAGAAAAAGGAAGCCGGCGACGUCUCCAACUGACGGCGAAGAAGAAGGUCCGGCGGCUUCAUCUCCAGCUGAGGGCGAAGAAGAAAGGCGACAUUUGGCGGCGACUUUUCUUGCGUGCUGAGUUGAGGCUUUUAGAUCUGGUGUAGUGGUGUUGUUGGCUUAUGUACUUGCAGCUCCACUGAUACAGAAGCUAGAACUAUGAAAAUAAGGGUCAAUGCCUUGAUCAUUUUGUGCCCAAGUAUGACACUCUCUAUUGCAACACUUUUAUAUCUGAUUAGAUUUGGAUUUUGUGUUUACUUAAUUGAUUAUCUGCAUUUUCUUGCUGAUGAUGUUUUUGAGAUCUGGAUUAAAAACAUCUCUCAUUGUUGAUGAUGGUUAUGAGAUAAAUAUGCAGGUAUUAUUACUUUUUUCACAAUUAAUUUGUGUCCUUUGAUUUAUUAGUUUUUAUGUAGAAGGAUUCUAGGUUUUGUAAGCCUGUAUUUUGUUUACUACUUGGUCAUUUAGCUGUUAAAUUCUAGACACCAUUGCAUCUCAUUUAGGUGUUAAAAUUUCCAGCUAUGUAUCUCUCUCGAAAUGCAAAAGUAUCUCAUCUUUAUUCUGUGUUGAUUAAGGUAUAUGUUUACUGAUGCCUCUGCAUAUUUGCUGAUGCUAUUACUCAUCAGGCUCUUGUUUUAUAGAACUUUGAAUAUCUAAAACUCCUUACCUGAUAUUCUGCUGUCACAAUAUGGUGCUAUGCUGUUCUUUGUAUUACUUGCCUGGCCUGCAGUUUAUGUAAAAUCAAUUCAAUCAUUUGAUUUACCAAAUAUGUAUCUGUGUAGGUCCAUUAACAUUCUAUACAAAAUGUGUAUCCUGCAGACUAUUUCAGCACGUGUUUGUGAUCCUAGUUCUUCCAAUCUCAUUGGUAUUCCUCUCAUCUAAACAAAAGAGUAGCUAAUUGAAGAAUUUACACCAAGGAAAGAAGAUAAAAAAAUUCUACAUCCUUAGAGUCAUUUCUUAUAAGUUGAUUAUUUUAGCAAGUAAGAUACUUAGUUCUGUACCAUAGAACCUUUUUAUUUCAUACUUUCAGUACAAUGCCUACUUUAUUUUAUUUUUUCAUUUAUUUCUUUCAGAUUAGUAAUGAGAUGAUAAGCUUGGAUGGUCUACUUGAUGCUUUAGUUGAUCUUUGCUGGAUUAAAAAUACCAUUAACAGUUUGAAGAAUGGAUUAUGAUUCUACAGCUUUUGCUUCAAUUUCUGUAUCCAAUUUUAAAUACAGUUCAUCUCAUAAGCACUGGUGGAGAAAGUGAGAAACACUUCAAGUUUGCUAACAGAAAUCGCAAGUAAAUAUCUAAAUAUGCUUCUUCAUCUCUAAAUUGUUAUAGUAGGUAGUACAAUAGACUAUGGUGUUAAGAAGCUUUGUGAGAACAACAAUGUUGGGAAUUUUAAGUAUUGUGGAUAUUGUGUAGUAUUUUGAAUAUUAUUAUAUUAUUGAUGGAUGGUUAUUGACGAUUAUUAGUUAAUUUAAUUAUAAUAUAUUAUUAUUGAA